rnacentral:misc_RNA from 1 species
GACGCCGAAGGUGGGGCUAAUGACUGGGGUGAAGUCGUAACAAGGUAGCCGUACCGGAAGGUGCGGCUGGAUCACCUCCUAACAGGGAGACAACAAAAUGUAAAUAUUAAUUUUGUCACCUUAGGUCGAUCGGUAUCUCAGAUUCUUUUUUUUAAGAAUUUCAGUUUCUAAGUUUUUUCUAGGUCACACCCAUCACUUUUUCCUGGGCCAUUAGCUCAGGUGGUUAGAGCGCACCCCUGAUAAGGGUGAGGUCCCUGGUUCAAGUCCAGGAUGGCCCAUAUCUCUAUGUUGGGGGUAUAGCUCAGUUGGUAGAGCGCCUGCUUUGCAAGCAGGAUGUCAGCGGUUCGAGUCCGCUUACCUCCACUGAAUACCACCUCUUACAUAUAAUUAAAGUGGGAAAUUGUUUUGAGUCGUGUCCUAAUUUGCUCUGAGCGAAUCUAGCUUCCUAUUUUAUCCAAGAAAUAAGAUGCUGGACUCAUUGAAUUUUUUUUCAUUGUUUUCAGAGAACCUUGACAACUGCAUAGAUUAUUUUUGAAGACAAUAAGCAUCUUUAAUGAUGCAGAUUUAUUAUUUGUGCGAAUGCAUUAAAUAACAAUUCUAUUAAGCUGAUGCUUCAAUUUUUGAAGUUAUUGGUCAAGCUACAAAGGGCUCACGGAGGAUACC